CCACAAAAUACAGCUUGGUCAUCUACCUUCAUUAGAAUUUGAUAUUAUGGAAUUCUGUAUUUUAUUCUCGAUUCUUCUAUCUUCUAAUGACAUUUGUUUGGAAAUGGAACAAGUAAGCAAGAAGCAGCUACUAUAUGACUGAAGUCGGUUUCAAGUGAAGAAAAUUAGUGAAGGAUGCGGUUGAGUGUUAAAUGGCUGAUAUUUUAUUGGCAGCUCUAACUGAAAGUUCUACUUACAUAAACAAGACUGCUUUGCUUCAGAGGGUGUCUAAAACGUAGAAUAGCAUGUCAACAUUAUCAAGUCGACUAGCUGGUGUUCUCAUCCAUCAUUUUCAGUUCUGAGUAAUAAUGAGCACAUUUUGAAAACAAAGCACACAUAUUGCAAUGUAACUCUUCGGGAGGGGGAUUAAGAUUUUAAGAAAUGCACAAGUCGUCCCAGAAAUGAGGCUUAGCAAAGAGACUUUAAAAGUGUGGCCUAGGAGAACAUUUACAGCAUUGGUUCAUCAAGCAGGGUGCAACAGAGAUCACCGCCAUGUCUGAUUUUCUCAUUUUUCAUUAAUAUAUUGGCUGAAGAGUUAGAAACAUAUUAAUAAAACAUGUCAGCACUUUACAAAUUGAUAAGAGACAUGAUAUCACCCAGUCGUGGAUUAUGGAGAAUUGAUGUGCUCACCGUGGACCCGAGUGGCAAACACAAGUGGAAGAAGUCUCCACUUUUUCUGUGAAAAUGCUCCCUACAGCUUGCAGCAACACAACUUUAAAAAGGGCUGUUGCCAGCGAGAAGAGAAGGCCUUUCUUCAUCCUGCUGGGAUAGAAAAAUACGGAUUUGCAAGUGUUGCAUUUCUCUACCUGCUGUGGCCCAUUUGGAGUCAUGGAAUGCCCCACCACUUCCCUAUUAUGAGCCAGUUUUUUAGGUACUGGCAAAGCAGUAAUGGACAAAAUAGACAACGAUCCCUGCUCUUACAUAAAAAUGAGAGAGAAAGCACAAGCAGGGGCAGCAGUAGAGGGAGAAGGAGAAGCAGACUCCCUGAUGAGCAGGAGCUCAACGCAGGACUCUAUCCCAAGGACCCUGAGAUCAUGACCUGAGCAGAUGCUUAAGUGACUGACCCACCCGGUACCCCAGAACUGGAUGUCUUUACACAAUCAAAUUCAAAUUAUUUCAUAACUAUAU